AAAUUCAGGCUGGAUAAAGAAGAAGGAGAAGAGAACAAGGGAGGAAGAGAGGAACAUGCUUGGGGCCGGAAUUCAGGCGGCUGUCAGCCAGCCAAACACUAGAAGCAAUGAAAGUAAGAUGUACAGAAGGAAAGAAAGGCAAAAAUCCCCAAGGCAAGUGUGGAUGAAGAGAAACGGGACGUGCAAAGGCUAUACGAGUGUACAUUGGCCUCCCUGUGUUCAGGAGACCCCAAGCCCAAGCUCAGGAUUACUGAGAGAAAAACAGAGCAAUUCCAGUCCUCAAGAACAGGGUUUUCAUUACUUCUGAAACAUAAAGCAAGCCGGGCGUUGGUGGCGCACGCCUUUAAUCCCAGCACUCGGGAGGCAGAGGCAGGAGGAUCUCUGUGAGUUGGAGACCAGCCUGGUCUACAGAGCUGGUUCCAGGACAGCCUCCAAAACAAUGCAGAAAAACCCUGCCUCAAAAAAACAAAAACAACAAAAAAUAAUACCACUCUCACAGUUUAAAGUCAAUUUUGAAGCAAACUUAAGUUAAAUACUGGCCAAAUGGAUGGGCUCUGGCCAGAUCCAUACCCAGAUUCCUGAGAAAUGGCUCCAAGUCACGGUUUGCAGCGACUUAAGAAAAAACAAAACAAAACAACAAAAAUUUAUUGCAUUUCCCAUCAGGUCCAAUCAGGGGCAAGCAUACAUCCUGAUGUACCUCCAGUCUACAUCCAAUCAGGGGCAAGCAUAUAUGCUGACAUUUCCUGCCCGUGGACCUCCAGCUCACAUGAGAUCAAGCACAUCUGGUGCAGAUGGGUCAAGCAAACUUGUUUAGGGAGUGAAAACACGUGGCUUGUUCUCUCCCAUAAACAGUAGCCUCCAACAUUUCAGGAACUACCUGUCCUUGGGCAAGAGGCUUACAAAUCGGAAGUAUUCUUGUUUCAUGGAUCUCUUAGGUAUAGCAAUUAAAACUUAAAAUGGAACUCUGGCUCUCACACUACCUCUUAGCUAAAGCUCUGUCCUUUAAUAUCUGUGGAAAAGCUUGACCCACAAAGGAAACUCCUGACCAAAAACUGUAUAGAUUGAGUUAAUCCAAAGCCCCUACAGUUUCUCUGUGCUCCAACUACAUAGCACGACAUACUGUUUUCCUAAGUCUAAGAAAUAUGCUUAUUUAUGCCAGUGUGAUCCUGGAAUGUGCAGGACUGCUCAAAUAUCUAAUUCAAUUUUUCAAAAAGAACCCUAAAAAUACAACAAAGUAUUUGAUUUCUCAGAUGAUAGUCAUUUCUGGCUCCACGCUGGGAACCUUGGGAAGGACAAUCAGCUUGGGGUUGGCCGUCUACUCUGUAUGGACUCUGCUUCUGCAGCUGGGCUCGCCCCCUCGCCCCCACCUCCCCUAGUGCCUCUGAGGAUGCAGGUGCCCUAUGACGGCGCAACUGCCCCUCCAGCUGAGCACGUAUUGUCCCCAUUGCAAGGAUGCCCUGGAAAAAUGCUGGACCUCAAUUCUGUGAUGGCAGGAUUGGUUGUACUGGUGGCCCACCAAUGUGGUCUCUGCCCAGUCAUGUUUGUGUGAAGAGCCAAGAACUUACACAGGCACAUGCCUAGAGGGCUGGUUGUGCCAGGAGUGUCUGCUGCCAUUGCAAGGAUCUCUGAAGGUGAGCCUCAGGGACUGUCACAACUCUGUGUCCCUGGUUGCUGUCCAGCUGAGAGGCCAGGACCACACACUUGGUUUGUUGGCUGAUCUGAGGCCUGGAAGAGGUGCUGGGCCCAGCCAGGCUGGGUGGUAUAGCCUUGUCCUACCUGGUUCUGGGAGACCUCCUCCCUUCUAUUCUUCCUACAUCUCCAACUGAUGGAAGACAAGGUGCAAGCAGGGGGUAUCAAAUAGCAGGGGGCUUACUAGGAAGAUGUUUUCAGCAGGAGAGAGGGGGUGAUAAGAGAGUAAUAGGAGUGAAGCUCAUUAUAUUCAUGUAUAACACCGUCAAGGAAUGAAACAUGUAAAAUGUC